rnacentral:lncRNA from 1 species
AAUGAAUGCUAAAAGAAAUAAAGAAAAUGCAAUAUGUGGGUAUUGAACCCACUCCACUAAAGACUUAGAAUCUACACUCUCUCCACUAGACUGCUUAUAAUUAGUUAUCAUUUAAAUAACAACAUAAAUAUAUAAACCAUACUAGAUUGGAAAAAAUGAAAAAAGAAACUAAAAUAAUAAAUAGUAAAGGUCUGUUGGAUUACCAAAGAAAACCCAGCCGCCUGGCUGUUGGGUUUCCAAAGAGAAAUUAAAAGGUGCACUAAACAACAUUACCAAUAAUUAACAUU